rnacentral:rRNA from 1 species
AUUGAACGCUGGCGGCAUGCCUUACACAUGCAAGUCGAACGGUAACGGGCCUUCGGGUGCCGACGAGUGGCGAACGGGUGAGUAAUACAUCGGAACGUGCCCGAUCGUGGGGGAUAACGAGGCGAAAGCUUUGCUAAUACCGCAUACGAUCUACGGAUGAAAGCAGGGGACCGCAAGGCCUUGCGCGGACGGAGCGGCCGAUGGCAGAUUAGGUAGUUGGUGGGGUAAAAGCUUACCAAGCCGACGAUCUGUAGCUGGUCUGAGAGGAUGAUCAGCCACACUGGGACUGAGACACGGCCCAGACUCCUACGGGAGGCAGCAGUGGGGAAUUUUGGACAAUGGGCGCAAGCCUGAUCCAGCCAUGCCGCGUGCAGGAUGAAGGCCUUCGGGUUGUAAACUGCUUUUGUACGGAACGAAAAGCCUUCUUUUAAUACAGGAGGGUCAUGACGGUACCGUAAGAAUAAGCACCGGCUAACUACGUG